rnacentral:rRNA from 1 species
GAUGAACGCUAGCGGCAGGCUUAAUACAUGCAAGUCGUGGGGCAGCAGGGCUGUAGCAAUACAGUCGCUGGCGACCGGCAAACGGGUGCGGAACACGUACACAACCUUCCUUUAAGUGGGGAAUAGCCCGGGGAAACCCGGAUUAAUACCCCGUAACAUAAUGAAGUGGCAUCACUUUAUUAUUAUAGCUCCGGCGCUUGAAGAUGGGUGUGCGGCUGAUUAGGUAGUUGGCGGGGUAAUGGCCCACCAAGCCUACGAUCAGUAACUGGUGUGAGAGCACGACCAGUCACACGGGCACUGAGACACGGGCCCGACUCCUACGGGAGGCAGCAGUAAGGAAUAUUGGUCAAUGGACGCAAGUCUGAACCAGCCAUGCCGCGUGGAGGAUGAAGGUCCUCUGGAUUGUAAACUUCUUUUAUCUGGGAAGAAAUCCAUAUUUUCUAAUGUGGUUGACGGUACCAGAUGAAUAAGCACCGGCUAACUCCGUGCCAGCCGCCGCCGUAAGAC